rnacentral:rRNA from 1 species
UGCCCUAGUAACGGCGAGUGAAGCGGCAAUAGCUCAAAUUUGAAAUCUGGCUCUCAUUUUGGGGGUCCGAGUUGUAAUUUGUAGAGGGUCUUCGGAGUUGCCUUGGUCUAAGUUCUUUGGAACAGGACGUCAUAGAGGGUGAGAACCCCGUACGUGGCCAAUGGUCUUCGCCAUGUGAAGCCCCUUCGACGAGUCGAGUGUUUGGGAAUGCAGCUCUAAAUGGGAGGUAUAUUUCUUCUAAAGCUAAAUACUGGCCAGAGACCGAUAGCGCACAAGUAGAGUGAUCGAAAGAUGAAAAGCACUUUGGAAAGAGAGUUAAAAAGCACGUGAAAUUGUUGAAAGGGAAGCGCUUGCAACCAGACUUGCCUGCAGUUGCUCAUCUAGGCUUUUGCCUGGUGCACUCUUCUGUAGGCAGGCCAGUAUCAGUUCGGGCGGUUGGAUAAAGACGUUGGGAAUGUAGCUCUCCUCGGAGAGUGUUAUAGCCCAGCGUGUAAUACAGCCAGCCUGGACUGAGGUCCGCGCUUCGGCUAGGAUACUGGCGUAAUGGUUGUAAGCGGCCCGUCUUGAAACACGGACCAAGGAGUCUAACAUCUAUGCGAGUGUUUGGGUGUCAAGCCCGGACGCGUAAUGAAAGUGAACGGAGGUAGGAACCUUUUUUAAGGUGCACUAUCGACCGAUCCUGAUGUCUUCGGAUGGAUUUGAGUAAGAGCAUAGCUGUUGGGACCCGAAAGAUGGUGAACUAUGCCUGAAUAGGGUGAAGUCAGAGGAAACUCUGAUGGAGGCUCGCAGCGGUUCUGACGUGCAAAUCGAUCGUCAAAUUUGGGCAUAGGGGCGAAAGACUAAUCGAACUAUCUAGUAGCUGGUUCCUGCAAGUUUCCCUCAGGAUAGCAGUAACGUUUUCAGUUUUAUGAGGUAAAGCUGAUUAGAGUGGGGGUUGAAACACCUUCACCUAUUCUCAACUUUAAAUAUGUAGAAGUCCUUGUUACUUAGUUGAACGUGGACAUUUGAAUGUAUCGUUACUAGUGGGCCAUUUUUGGUAAGCAGAACUGGCGAUGCGGGAUGAACCGAACGCGGGGUUAAGGUGCCAGAAUGCACGCUCAUCAGACACCACAAAAGGUGUUAGUUCAUCUAGACAGCAGGACGGUGGCCAUGGAAGUCGGAAUCCGCUAAGGAGUGUGUAACAACUCACCUGCCGAAUGAACUAGCCCUGAAAAUGGAUGGCGCUCAAGCGUGCUACCCAUACCCCGCCGCCGGGGCAAAAAUUACGCCCCGGCGAGUAGGCAGG